rnacentral:rRNA from 1 species
AGCGGUGGAGCAUGUGGUUUGCUUCGAUGCAACGCGAAGUAAGCCUUUACCUACUCCUUGACAUCCAGUAGAACUUAGCAGUAGAUGCUUUGGUGCCUUCGGGAACUCUGAGACAGGUGCUGCAUGGCUGUCGUCAGCUCGUGUUGUGAAAUGUUGGGUUAAGUCCCGCAACGAGCGCAACCCUUAUCCUUUGUUGCCAGCGGUUAGGCCGGGAACUCAAAGGAGACUGCCAGUGAUAAACUGGAGGAAGGUGGGGAUGACGUCAAGUCAUCAUGGCCCUUACGAGUAGGGCUACACACGUGCUACAAUGGCGCAUACAAAGAGAAGCGACCUCGCGAGAGCAAGCGGACCUCAUAAAGUGCGUCGUAGUCCGGAUUGGAGUCUGCAACUCGACUCCAUGAAGUCGGAAUCGCUAGUAAUCGUGGAUCAGAAUGCCACGGGUGAAUACGUUUCUCCGGG